GAUGAACGCUAGCUACAGGCUUAACACAUGCAAGUCGAGGGGUAACGAGAGGAAAGCUUGCUUUCCUUGUCGACGACCGGCGCACGGGUGAGUAACGCGUAUCCAACCUGCCCCCAACUAGGGAAUAACCUUGCGAAAGUAAGACUAAUACCCUAUAAUUUCCUCAGAUGACAUCUGACGAGGAAUAAAGAUUUAUCGGUUGUGGAUGGGGAUGCGUCUGAUUAGCUUGUUGGCGGGGUAACGGCCCACCAAGGCAACGAUCAGUAGGGGUUCUGGGAGGAAGGGUCCCCACAUUGGAAACUAGAAACGGUCCAAACUCCUACGGGAGGCAGAAGUGAGGAAUAUUGGUCAAUGGGCGGAAGCCUAAACCAGCCAAGUAGCGUGCAGGAUGACGGACCUAUGGGUUGUAAACUGCUUUUAUACGGGAAUAAAGUUAGCCACGUGUGGUUAUUUGUAGGUACUGUAUGAAUAAGGACCGGCUAAUUCCGUGCCAGCCGCCGCGGUAA
rnacentral:rRNA from 1 species